CCUACGUGCGGCAGCAGUGAGGAAUAUUGGUCAAUGGGCUUACGCCUGAACCAGCCAAGUCGCGUGAGGGAAGACUGCCCUAUGGGUUGUAAACCUCUUUUGUCAGGGAGCAACGCCGGCUACGUGUAGCCGGACUGAGAGUACCUGAAGAAAAAGCAUCGGCUAACGCCGUGCCAGCAGCCGCGGUGAUACGGAGGAUGCGAGCGUUAUCCGGAUUUCUUGGGUUUAACGGGUGCGUAGGCGGAAUGCCAAGUCAGCGGUAAAAUCGCGGGGCUCAACCUCGCUCCGCCGUUGAAACUGGCGUUCUUGAGUGGGCGAGAAGUAUGCGGAAUGCGUGGGGGAGCGGUGAAAUGCAUAGAUAGCACGCAGAACUCCGAUUGCGAAGGCAGCAUACCGGCGCCCAACUGACGCUGAAGCACGAAAGCGUGGGUAUCGAACAGGAUUAGAUACCCCAGUAGUC
rnacentral:rRNA from 1 species